CAGUCGCCGCGGUAAUACAGAGGGUGCGAGCGUUAAUCGGAUUUAAUGGGCGUAAAGCGUGCGUAGGCGGCUUCUUAAGUCGGAUGUGAAAUCCCUGAGCUUAACUUAGGAAUUGCAUUCGAUACUGGGAAGCUAGAGUAUGGGAGAGGAUGGUAGAAUUCCAGGUGUAGCGGUGAAAUGCGUAGAGAUCUGGAGGAAUACCGAUGGCGAAGGCAGCCAUCUGGCCUAAUACUGACGCUGAGGUACGAAAGCAUGGGGAGCAAACAGGAUUAGAUACCCCCGUAGUCCCUGUCUCUUAUAC
rnacentral:rRNA from 1 species